rnacentral:rRNA from 1 species
GAUGAACGCUGGCGGCGUGCCUAAUACAUGCAAGUCGAGCGAACAGACGAGGAGCUUGCUCCUCUGGCGUUAGCGGCGGACGGGUGAGUAACACGUGGAUAACCUACCUAUAAGACUGGGAUAACUUCGGGAAACCGGAGCUAAUACCGGAUAAUAUAUUGAACCGCAUGGUUCAAUAGUGAAAGACGGUUUUGCUGUCACUUAUAGAUGGAUCCGCGCCGCAUUAGCUAGUUGGUAAGGUAACGGCUUACCAAGGCAACGAUGCGUAGCCGACCUGAGAGGGUGGUCGGCCACACUGGAACUGAGACACGGUCCAGACUCCUACGGGAGGCAGCAGUAGGGAAUCUUCCGCAAUGGGCGGAAGCCUGACGGAGCAACGCCGCGGGAGUGAUGAAGGUCUUCGGAUCGUAAAACUCUGUUAUUAGGGAAGAACAAAUGUGUAAGUAACUAUGCACGUCUUGACGGUACCUAAUCAGAAAGCCACGGCUAACUACGUG